rnacentral:rRNA from 1 species
GAUCCUGGCUCGGGACGAACGCUGGCGGCGUGCUUAACACAUGCAAGUCGAACGAGAGGAGAAGGAAGCUUGCUUCUUUCAAAUCUAGUGGCAAACGGGUGAGUAACACGUAAACAACCUGCCUUCAGGAUGGGGACAACAGACGGAAACGACUGCUAAUACCGAAUACGUUCCUUAGGUCGCAUGACUUUAGGAAGAAAGGGUGGCCUCUACUUGUAAGCUAUCGCCUGAAGAGGGGUUUGCGUCUGAUUAGGUAG